CCUCGAUAGAGUUGCAGGUUGGUGUCUUGCCAUCGCUCCUCUGCGGUCUCAUCCCUGCCAAGC
rnacentral:ncRNA from 1 species